rnacentral:rRNA from 1 species
AUACGGAGGUGGCAAGCGUUGUUCGGAAUUACUGGGCGUAAAGGGCGCGCAGGCGGUUUCGUUAGUCAGGCGUGAAAUCCCCGGGCUCAACCCGGGAACUGCGUUUGAUACUGCGGAACUAGAGAUCGGGAGAGGGUAGUGGAAUUCCCAGUGUAGCGGUGAAAUGCGUAGAUAUUGGGAGGAACACCAGUGGCGAAGGCGGCUACCUGGACGGGUACUGACGCUGAUGCGCGAAAGCGUGGGGAGCAAACAGGAUUAGAUACCCCAGUAGUCC